UGUAACAGCAACUCCAUAUGGA
rnacentral:miRNA from 1 species